AUAGCCUCGAGCUGUUUCGUGAGCGGUGUCGGUGUAACCCCAACCCUUUUGCUCGGACGCGACAAUUUUUAUUGCAGAGAGUGGCUAACGGGUGAGUAACACGUGGGAAACCUACCUCUUAGCAGGGGAUAACAUUUGGAAACAGAUGCUAAUACCGUAUAACAAUAGCAACCGCAUGGUUGCUACUUAAAAGAUGGUUCUGCUAUCACUAAGAGAUGGUCCCGCGGUGCAUUAGUUAGUUGGUGAGGUAAUGGCUCACCAAGACGAUGAUGCAUAGCCGAGUUGAGAGACUGAUCGGCCACAAUGGGACUGAGACACGGCCCAUACUCCUACGGGAGGCAGCAGUAGGGAAUCUUCCACAAUGGGCGAAAGCCUGAUGGAGCAACGCCGCGUGUGUGAUGAAGGGUUUCGGCUCGUAAAACACUGUUGUAAGAGAAGAAUGACAUUGAGAGUAACUGUUCAAUGUGUGACGGUAUCUUACCAGAAAGGAACGGCUAAAUACGUGCCAGCAGCCGCGGUAAUACGUAUGUUCCAAGCGUUAUCCGGAUUUAUUGGGCGUAAAGCGAGCGCAGACGGUUAUUUAAGUCUGAAGUGAAAGCCCUCAGCUCAACUGAGGAAUUGCUUUGGAAACUGGAUGACUUGAGUGCAGUAGAGGAAAGUGGAACUCCAUGUGUAGCGGUGAAAUGCGUAGAUAUAUGGAAGAACACCAGUGGCGAAGGCGGCUUUCUGGACUGUAACUGACGUUGAGGCUCGAAAGUGUGGGUAGCAAACAGGAUUAGAUACCCUGGUAGUCCACACCGUAAACGAUGAGUGCUAGGUGUUUGAGGGUUUCCGCCCUUAAGUGCCGCAGCUAACGCAUUAAGCACUCCGCCCGGGGGAGUACGACCGCAAGGUUGAAACUCAAAGGAAUUGACGGGGACCCGCACAAACCGGUGGACCAUGUGGUUUAAUUCGAAGCAACGCGAAAAACCUUACCAGGGUCUUGACAUCCCUUUGACAACUCCGAAAGAUGGAACCUUUCCCUUCGGGGAACAGAUGGACAGGCUAGUCCAUGGGUAGUCGUCAAGCUCGUGUCAUUAGAAUAUUUGGAUUAAAUUCCCGAAAAGGAACGGGAGCCUUUUAUGAAA
rnacentral:rRNA from 1 species